rnacentral:lncRNA from 1 species
GGCGUGCAAGUAAGGACGGAGGAUUUCAAAUUCAAACAUGAAUUCUUCUCCGUUAAGGAGGUGUGUAGUAUGAUACAAAGUUAGCAUAUGAAGAUCAAAGUCAUUUUUCGAUCAUCAAAUCAAGACGAAUUCUUUCCAUAUUCAAAAUAUGGCAUAAUUGAGACUUGCCAUAUGAAGCCAAGGCCAUGAAUCAUCAUCAAAUCAAGAGGAAUUUUUUCCAUAUUCAAAAGGUGGUAUAAUUGAGACUUGCCAUAUGAAGCCAAGGUUAUGAGUCAUCCUCAAAUCAUGAGGAUUUCUUUCCACAUUCAAAUAAGGAAUGAAUGAGACUUACUAAAUGAGAACCCUAGGCCAUGUAAUCAUUAUCAAGUCAAACAAAAAUCGUUCCAUACGAAGCUAAUCGUGAAAAACAAGGAUUGACAUUUCAAAUCUUACUAUACAAG